UUUAGGGCCGAAAAUUUAUAUUUAUUUUAUUUAUUUUGUCUAACUAUGUUGUGAUUUUUUUUGUUGGACAGAUUGAUUUUGAAGGCUAAGGAAAGGAUUGGCUUGCUGCUGGUUGUGUUUUUAUUUCUGAAUUGAUUUGCAGGCUAAGGAAAAAGGAUUGGCUUGCUGGUUGUGUUUAUUUC